UGUCAGAACAAAGCUGUUAUUUUUCAAGCUAAGCGUUAGCCCUACACUACAAUUUGACCCUUACAAUAGGUGUACGUGAGGUGGUUUCUAGCAUUCCAAUUCGUUGCUGCAAUUUUAGCUUGAUUAUUCUAAAAUAAUGUGAACACAGAACCAGGAAAAAUAAAACCUUUUCCCAACUAUGUGACCAUAGGUUACCUUUCCUUCCAGAAAGGUAGCAAACUGUAGGCCUCCAGUUGGAGACCAUCCAUGGAGGUACUUUGUUUUGCCAGUGAAUUAGGCCCCCAGGGAGGUCAGCUUAGAAUGAAGUCUCAUUUCCCCUGCUUUGUGCCUUGAUACGUUUGCAGAGCUCCUGAGGGCAUCUGAGCUCUGCCUCCAGCUUUACUGUCUCCCCUCCAAACCCAAGUCAGAGAGCUACUUCUCAUCGCCAGGAAGUGGGCCAGGGGAAGCUCGGGCUUUAUUUCACACAGGCUAACUGACUUGUCUUCACCAAACCACUUGGGUGUGGACAAAUAUUUUGUAUCAUCUUCUGCCAACAAGUUUUCUUGGCAUUUUUGCAUCUCCCAGGCAUGAACAAACACUGUGUAGCUUCCUACAAACACCCCUGUGUUGUGCACACUUUAUUUGAUAUUGUACUUCAUCCACUAUAGGAAAAAAGGGGGGAUAUCGAUAGAAAGGCAAGGGGAGGUGUACCAAGAAGGGAUAAGAGUUGGGCCUGAGGGACUCACCGGGAGUCACAGGACUCCAUCGGGUUCAUGGGCUGGAGCAGAGACUCAGACACAACUCUUCUCCCCAGGAGCCACCACAGAGGCAGCAAAGCAUAGAGCAAGUUUAGGGAGCAGUGAAUAGUCUAGUCUGGUCAAAGUCAAGUGGAUGUGCAUGUGGACAGUUUUGCAUUUGGUUUGGCAGACAUGCCAUGAAUUCAUGAAAGACUAGAUCUCAGAUUUAAAGUCUCAAACGUGCUGACCACCCCGUAGCUCCUUCAAUAAAGGCUGGGAGGAAGGGCGGAGAAUGCCGUGCAUACAAUAGGGCCAAUGGGCUGGGGUGACUCCCAAAAAACCUUGCGUGUUGAAACCAUUUACAUCAUCUACUCGCAAAUGGUGUCAUGUGAUGGCCGCGGGAGCGCAGCCACUGUGAGAUGAGCCUCCUGAUGCCCAGGGGACCGUCCCCAGAUCCCUUGCUCCUCUACACCCCAGUGACAGUGUGGUUCUCGAGAAACCAGAUGCGGUCCAGAGGAAGGUCUCAGCAGAGCACUGCUUCUUUUCUCUGCCCAGGGGCUCUAUGGAAAUUCCUGCCAGUGAGUGCCAGGUUUACCUGACUCUGUCUGAGAAUAUUACAGGAAGGAAACGGGAAAGAUGAGGGGCACCGCGUGGCGCAGUGGGAUGUCUCUGGAGAGUACAGUCAGAAGGUGACGUUGCCUCCAAAGGUUUCAUGAGUGGGGUUUCCAAUGGAAAGGUGUAUGCUGAUACAUGGGGUGGAAAAGAAUGCCACAGGACCGGGUGAUGGAAGCCAUACUUCACAUCUGCUUGACCCAGACUACAGGACUGCUUCUGUUUGGAGAAUUCCCAGAUAAGUGCCUCGUGGAAGUGUUCACCACGGCAUUUACGAUGCCAGGACACCGAGAGAAAUUCAAGCUAAUGAUGACGUUGGCAUCUCUCUAUCAAUCUCUUCUUCCAUAUUUAAAAAAAGGUUUUACACUUGCAUACACUAGGAAGCAGAAAACUUUUUCUGUGAAAGGCUAUAAAGUACAAAAAAAAAUUAGGUUUUGCUGAUCAUACAGUUUCUGUGGUAGUUGCUCAGCUCUGCAGGUGUGGGGCAAAAGCCACCAUAAGCAACAUGCGAACAGAUGGGUGUGGCUUUGUUCCAAUAAAACUUUAUUUCCAAAAACA